UGAGAGCGCCCGAAGGCUGUGCGCUAACCGCAAGGAGGCAGCAGACCACGGUGGGAUCAGCGACUGGGGUGAAGUCGUAACAAGGUAGCUGUAGGUGAACCUGCAGAAGGAUCA
rnacentral:rRNA from 1 species